GACCCUGGUCUCCUCUUUCUUGUCUGGGAGUCGGCUGCAAUCGUGGCUUCAGAGCCAAGUUUUCAUCUUCAACCCACAUAGGCCCACCGUAUAUGUUGUCUAUGAGAAUAAUUCGACUAUAAUCUUCAAUUUCAAAUUCAUCAAUGGCUGGUCACUGGGAAUCCUCAUCUUCGCCAUUAGCCUCCAGCAACCAGGGGGAACAUCAUGGGUCCAAAAGCUUUCGCCUUGUCGGAAUGAAUUUUGAAGAUGACGGUCAUGAUUACGAACCUGUCAACAAGGCGAUGAGUCUAGAGCCAGAGAUGUAGGACAAGGAGCACAUCAGCCGACACCCGUAACCGCUGUCUUUCGUCGGCGAAUGUCCUGGUACACCACUCCCUUUCCGCACAGAUGAGUCAGUAGAUGUCGUCCUUAUCACUACUGAAUUUCUCAGGGGAAUGUCGUCUAAACCCGUUCAUCUCCUCCCAUUCAUCGGACAAGAUAUUGGUGUAUUGUAAAUGUUGAGAGCCUGCGAAUUGGCCUC
rnacentral:sRNA from 1 species